UGGCCAUCAUCAUGAGAGUAUUAAGACUGGCUGUGUCUGUUGUGGGUAAAGCCAAGUGUGACUAAUGUCUUCAGAGGGAGAGCAUCAAUGAUUACCCUCCACCUCGUUAAUUCUAGGAGCUCAGCUUAGAUCCUGGGAACCUUUAUCCAAAGGGAGAGAAGAAGAAGAUGUUAAAAUUCUGUUUAUUUCUGAAAUUCCUUCUUGGGCAUCUUAUAGCUCUCGUCACUCAUUCAACAGACUCGUAAUGAGGCCCACUCACUGCCUGGCACUGAGCUCAGCCCUGGGAGGCAGAGAUGAGUGAGCCUGCACCUCUGAGACACACAAGUGAACAGCAACGAGAGCGCCAUAGGAGCGGCUGCAAGGUGACUCGGGAGGAACCGCGGCUCUGCGGUGGUGUGUGUCUCUCUCAGGCAUGGGAGUCUCAGGAGAAUUUGGAAACUGGCAUCUGCGGAGCAGCCCCCAGAGGCCCACUGACUCCCCUCUUCCCCAAGGCCAGCCCAGGCCCAGAGAAACCCCUGAAAGUUUGGGGGAGCCCUCCCCAGCACCUGCUUCUCCUGACAUUCUACCUCUCCCUGCCAUACUUGUCCUUCCCUAAUGGACUUGGAACGCCACAAAAUCCAGAGCCUGGGUCAUUUGUAACCAGAAGCCGGCUCCUCCUACCCCAAGGGCAAAGAGGGCUAAGGCGAGAAACCCUCCCAAGGUGAAGGAAAUUUUGUCAAAGAAGAAAAAGGACAAAAACCAACAUCACCAAGAAAGCCCGGGGCAGUGGUAUCCUCACAAACACAGACACACCUGCAGACUUCUCUCACCAAAUCGAGAUUACAAAGCACAGCUUCCACUGCUUCUUAGCUUUUCACUCUGUGUUAUGCCAGGAGCAUUUUCUCAUGUCAUUUGAAAAUGGGAUUUCUGAGGGUAGCUCCCAAGGGUGACUUAGUAAAUGAACUGAAGCCAGGGGAUGAAGUGGGUUAGAGACCAGUCGUGGAUGGCACAGAGACUGGCAUCUGUAACCUGUCUCUUUCAUUUCUACCCCUUCCUCAGCCCAUCCCUAGCCUUCCCUCACUCAAGAGGCUACCGUGGCUCCCCAUUUUUAUCACAUCAAGUCUAAACUCCAGCUUUCAAACCACUCAUAACCUGGCAGGCUCUUCUCCUCUCUGUCAGUGAAUGCCCCCGACCCUCACCACGGUACCCAUUCCUCUCUUCUGUCUCUUGAGGUGCCCCCACCCCACAUAGUGCUCAAUCCUGUGUCCUUGCCCUGCUGAGCAAUUCCCUCCCUCCCUCCUCCUCUCCCCAGUCCCCCUCAUCCCUGUCAUCCAUCCCC
rnacentral:lncRNA from 10 species